GACUAAUUAAGCACCAGCAAAUACAGAGAGAGUGUGAGACACUUAAACACUACUGAAAACAUUGCAUAAGCUUGCAAAUGGAUGGAAAUUUAAAAUAGUUUGAUUUGAGUGUGCCAGCUAAAGUACUUGACCUGGAAGUAAGCUAUGUUUUGCUGCAUAUUACUAACACUGAAAUAGUUUCAGAAAAACAUUUACCAUGUGAAUGGUUGGUUUUACCUCAGAUCCUGGAAAGAGACUGUCAGAGAUCCUAACAUAGAAGGUACACUAGACCUUGUAUCAGUAUCAAAGAAUUUGCACAUAUGUGUCCUAGAUAAGCUCUCUGUUACAGUACUUUCAUUAGCAUUCCCAGUUUCCAGUAGAGAAAGUUACACCAUGCUGUAUGUUGCUUAACUUAAUUGGUUGGUAAAAGGUUAGAAAUUAUUGCUCCCUUCAGACCCACAGUAGAAACAAAAAGUGUACCCAGGAGGUACACUUCUGGCUGCUUGUGUGACUUGUAGAAAAGAAGGAGUUCAUGCUAACUGAGGUGUCUGAAUAAAAUGCAGAGGGAUUGAUCAGGGAGUUGGAGCCCCUUUCACAUCAAAGUAAACUUUUUAAUUAAUCCAACUCAGAAGGCAUCCAGGGAGAGAGGAGAGAGAUAACAAGGGAGGGUAAAAUCUGUGGCAGAAGUUAUUUCUGUUCAUUGACUGGAUGAAAUAAAGGCUGAA
ensembl:lncRNA